ACAUCGACCACCAUAAACACACUUCUCUGUUUCCAUUUCACGAUGCAGUUGCUACCACAAGGCCUUUUCCUAGUCCUCCCUCUCUCUCUUCCCUCGACUCCCUAUUGCCCUCGCCGCCCUUCCCUCAAAUCUCUUCCCUCUCAUCGGCUUGCAGUUUCGAAUCGCGGCACAAACGUGAAGCCAAGAGCCAUCGGAUGCUGCCACUUCUACACAGCGAGGUGCACAUGUCGGCUACAGCUUAUGGAGAAAGGGAAAGGGGAUUCUACAUCACUCAUGGAGUCUAAUUUUGUCACUUUACUCUCAAUAGCUGAAUCUAGAAUCAACGUGUUAGAUAUAGUUAUAGUGAUAGAAACUCAACAAUUUGUAGGUUUUUUGAUUGAGAAUGGUUGACAUGAUAUUGUUCAUCCAUUCCUUGUUAAUGAACAAUCAAUCAUGGUUGGAAGUAGGGUAAUAAAGACAAGAAUAUUAUCAUUCUGGUGUA